ACUCGCCUAACCCUCGCCUGGCCCCUCCUCUCCCGAUCCAUUCGAAUAAGGCUCCAAAAACCCUCUUCUUUUUUAUUUUUUGUCCAUCUCUCAAUCUUCCAAUAACCGCGUCACUCUCUUCCCCUCUGUCAUUCCUCAAACAACCCAUCGAUCAUUUCACCUACAAAUUAAUCGGCGUUUCGAUCAGAUUGAAAAGAAGUAGCGAAGAUGUCUCUCAGACCGAGCGCCAGGACUGAGGUUCGAAGGAACCGAUACAAGGUGGCGGUUGAUGCGGAGGAAGGUCGCCGGAGAAGAGAAGACAACAUGGUCGAGAUCCGAAAAAACAAGAGAGAAGAGAACCUUCUUAAAAAACGCCGCGAAGGACUUCUCGCUCAACAGCAGCAACCGCAGCAACAGCAACUGCUCUCUUCAACCGCUGGUUCCGAGAAAAAGUUAGAAAGUCUUCCGGCUAUGGUUGCGGGUGUUUGGUCAGAUGACAGAAAUAUGCAGCUUGAGGCAACCACCCAAUUCCGAAAGCUGCUAUCAAUAGAACGUAGUCCUCCAAUCAAUGAAGUUGUACAAUCAGGUGUUGUUCCUCGGUUUGUGGAGUUCCUGAAUAGAGAUGACUUCCCACAGCUUCAGUUUGAGGCAGCUUGGGCUCUUACAAAUAUUGCUUCAGGGACAUCAGAUAACACCAGGGUCGUAAUUGAUCAUGGAGCUGUCCCUAUAUUUGUUAAGCUCUUAGGUUCUCCCACUGAUGAUGUUCGCGAACAGGCUGUUUGGGCACUAGGAAAUGUUGCUGGAGACUCACCUAAAUGCCGUGACCUGGUCCUUGGCCAUGGGGCAUUGGUGCCACUCUUGGCACAAUUCAACGAGCAUGCAAAGCUCUCCAUGUUGCGAAAUGCUACCUGGACUUUGUCAAACUUUUGCAGGGGCAAGCCACAGCCUUCAUUUGAGCAGACAAAGCCAGCUUUGCCAGCUCUUGAGCGUCUUAUCCAUUCAAAUGAUGAGGAAGUCCUUACAGAUGCAUGUUGGGCUCUGUCAUAUCUCUCAGAUGGUACUAAUGACAAAAUUCAAGCUGUUAUUGAGGCAGGAGUCUGCCCCCGACUGGUUGAGCUCUUGAUGCACCCAUCCCCAACAGUCCUCAUUCCUGCCCUUCGCACAGUUGGAAAUAUUGUUACAGGGGAUGAUAUGCAGACUCAAUGUAUUAUAGGCCACCAAGCCCUUCCGUGCCUUUUGAACCUGCUGACGAAUACCUACAAGAAGAGUAUCAAGAAGGAAGCUUGCUGGACCAUUUCAAAUAUCACUGCUGGAAAUGUAGAUCAGAUACAGGCUGUAAUUGAAGCUGGCAUUAUUGCUCCUCUAGUCCAUCUACUUCAAAAUGCUGAGUUUGAGAUCAAGAAAGAAGCUGCUUGGGCAAUUUCAAAUGCUACGUCUGGUGGCACCCAUGAACAAAUAAAGUUUUUGGUAAGCCAAGGUUGCAUUAAGCCAUUGUGUGAUCUUCUAAACUGUCCCGACCCAAGAAUUGUCACUGUUUGUUUAGAAGGUCUUGAAAACAUUCUGAAGGUUGGUGAAGCUGAGAAAAAUCUGGGUCAUACUGGAGAUGUCAAUCUCUAUGCUCAGUUAAUUGAUGAUGCUGAGGGAUUGGAGAAGAUUGAAAACCUCCAAAGUCAUGACAACAAUGAAAUCUAUGAGAAGGCAGUGAAGAUUCUUGAAACAUAUUGGGUAGAAGAUGAGGAUGAGGCAUUACCCACUGGUGAUGCUUCGCAACCUGGGUUCCAGUUUGGUGGCAAUCAACUUCCUGUUCCUUCUGGUGGAUUCAAUUUCAGUUGAAGAACACUUGGUGGGGUGGAAUGGAGCUGAAAGGUCGGUAUUUUCUUGUUUUCUUUUUUAUGGAAUUCACAUAUAUUCCAAGUCAUGCCACAGUAUGUUCUUAAGAAGUCGUCAAAUAAAGACAGGGUGUACGAUACGGUAAAGAGUCUGGAAGCCAUACAAAAUACUUUAAAAUUUUGCCAUGCGGUAGCUAUUCUUUUUCAGCAUCCUAAUUCUCAGAUGCAAAGGGGGAGAGAUGCAGCCCAGUAUUCAGACUUCUGGUUUUUACCCUUGUGUUGAAAGGAUGUAUUUGCUUCCUUUAUUAAAAGGACACCCAAGUAAAUGGUGUGGGGCGAGCCUACGAUGUUGAUCCCUUCUAAAUGAUUGCAUUGAAAACGUAGUGAUGGGGUGUUUCAGUAUGAUCAAAAUGCCAAUCCUUCAAAUAUAGUGAUUUUGAUGUUGUGACCUAAAGUUUAUUAACGUUUCAGAAUAACCGAGUAUGGGAACCCAAUCAUUUCAAAUAUAGUUUAUAUUUGGAAUCAAUGCUACCGGAUUACCUGGUUUACAUUUUAAUUGGGCCAUGAUCUAUGUUACUGGUUCCAAUUGAAGUACCAGAUGACUUCAAUUCCAUUUGAGGGGGCACUUUACAACCAGGGUGUAAUUAGCCAAAUUUUAAUAGUUACUCAAAAUUUGAUGCUCGAUA